rnacentral:rRNA from 1 species
UACGUAGGGGGCAAGCGUUGUCCGGAUUUACUGGGUGUAAAGGGUGCGUAGGCGGGUUGGUAAGUCAGUGGUGAAAUCUCAUAGCUUAACUAUGAAACUGCCUCUGAUACUGCCAAUCUUGAGUUCAGAAGAGAGAGAUGGAAUUCCAGGUGUAGUGGUGAAAUACGUAGAUAUCUGGAGGAACACCAGAGGCGAAGGCGAUCUCUUGGUCUGUAACUGACGCUGAGGCACGAAAGCGUGGGUAGCGAACAGGAUUAGAUACCCUGGUAGUCCACGCUGUAAACGAUGAAUACUAGAUGUCGGGCAAAAGCUCGGUGUCGCAGCUAACGCAUUAAGUAUUCCACCUGGGGAGUACGAUCGCAAGGUUGAA